UCCUGGGUGGCUCAGUCGGUCAAGCGUCUGACUUUGGCUCAGAUCACAAUCUCACUGUCUGUGGGUUCGAGCCCCACGUCGGGCU
rnacentral:tRNA from 1 species